UUCGUAGGCGGCCUGAUAAGUUGGGUGUGAAAUCCCUCGGCUCAACCGAGGAACUGCGCCCAAUACUGUCAGGCUCGAGGGAGACAGAGGUGAGUGGAACUGAUGGUGGAGCGGUGAAAUGCGUUGAUAUCAUCAGGAACACCGGUGGCGAAAGCGGCUCACUGGGUCUCUUCUGACGCUGAGGAACGAAAGCUAGGGGAGCGAACG
rnacentral:rRNA from 1 species